rnacentral:rRNA from 1 species
GACGAACGCUGGCGGCGUGCUUAACACAUGCAAGUCGAACGGAAAGGCCCUGCUUUUGUGGGGUGCUCGAGUGGCGAGCGGGUGAGUAACACGUGAGUAACCUGCCCUUGACUUUGGGAUAACUUCAGGAAACUGGGGCUAAUACCGGAUAGGAGCUCCUGCUGCAUGGUGGGGGUUGGAAAGUUUCGGCGGUUGGGGAUGGACUCGCGGCUUAUCAGCUUGUUGGUGGGGUAGUGGCUUACCAAGGCUUUGACGGGUAGCCGGCCUGAGAGGGUGACCGGCCACAUUGGGACUGAGAUACGGCCCAGACUCCUACGGGAGGCAGCAGUGGGGAAUAUUGCACAAUGGGCGGAAGCCUGAUGCAGCAACGCCGCGUGCGGGAUGAAGGCCUUCGGGUUGUAAACCGCUUUCGCCUGUGACGAAGCGUGAGUGACGGUAAUGGGUAAAGAAGCACCGGCUAACUACGUG